CCUACGGGAGGCAGCAGUGGGGAAUAUUGGGCAAUGGGCGAAAGCCUGACCCAGCAACGCCGCGUGAAGGAAGAAGGCUUUCGGGUUGUAAAAUUCUUUUCUGAGGGACGUAGAAAGUGACGGUAACUCAGGAAUAAGCCACGGCUAACUACGUGCCAGCAGCCGCGGUAAUCCGUAGGUGGCAAGCGUUAUCCGGAUUUAUUGGGUGCAAAGGGCGUGUAGGCGGGAAAGCAAGUCAGAUGUGAAAACUCAGGGCUCAACCCUGAGCCUGCAUUUGAAACUGUGUUUCUUGAGUGCUGGGGAGGCAAUCGGAAUGCCGGGUGUAGCGGUGAAAUGCUUAGAUAUACGGAGGAACACCAGUGGCGAAGGCGGAUUGCUGGACAGUAACUGACGCUGAGGCGCGAAAGUGUGGGGAGCAAACAGGAUUAGAUACCCCUGUAGUC
rnacentral:rRNA from 1 species